rnacentral:rRNA from 1 species
GAGGAUGCGAGCGUUAUCCGGAUUUAUUGGGUUUAAAGGGUGCGUAGGCGGUGGAUUAAGUCAGUGGUAAAAGACCGGGGCUCAACCCCGGCAAGCCGUUGAAACUGGUCUGCUGGAGUUGGAGAGAAGUAUGCGGAAUGCGCGGUGUAGCGGUGAAAUGCAUAGAUAUCGCGCAGAACUCCGAUUGCGAAGGCAGCAUACCGGCUCCAUACUGACGCUGAGGCACGAAAGCGUGGGUAUCGAAC